CCCGUGGGUUGCAAUGCUUUUUGUGUAUGGUCUUCAGCCAGCUCAAUAAUUUGAAGGUCUUCACAAUAUUACACCAUUGUUUCAAUGAGGGUUGUCCUAACAGCACAUAAGUCUUAAAUAACCACAAACUACUUCAUGAUGAAUAAAUUUCUCGUCCCUGGGAUAUUGCCCAAAUGUUUGGUAGACCUCAGCUGCAGUAUUCAGCGUUCAUAGCCAAAGUCAAAUCCCUAAAGUUCCAUUGGUUUAAAAGAGUUUAGAUUCUGGAGUCCUACACAGAACUUCAU